AACGAACGCUGGCGGCAUGCCUAACACAUGCAAGUCGAACGAGAUCUUCGGGUCUAGUGGCGCACGGGUGCGUAACGCGUGGGAAUCUGCCCUUUGGUUCGGAAUAACAGUUGGAAACGACUGCUAAUACCGGAUGAUGACGAAAGUCCAAAGAUUUAUCGCCAGAGGAUGAGCCCGCGUAGGAUUAGCUAGUUGGUGUGGUAAAGGCGCACUAAGGCGACGAUCCUUAGCUGGUCUGAGAGGAUGAUCAGCCACACUGGGACUGAGACACGGCCCAGACUCCCACGGGAGGCAGCAGUGGGGAAUAUUGGACAAUGGGCGAAAGCCUGAUCCAGCAAUGCCGCGUGAGUGAUGAAGGCCUUAGGGUUGUAAAGCUCUUUUACCCGGGAUGAUAAUGACAGUACCGGGAGAAUAAGCUCCGGCUAACUCCGUGCCAGCCGCCGCGGUAA
rnacentral:rRNA from 1 species